rnacentral:rRNA from 1 species
UACGUAGGGUGCAAGCGUUAUUCGGAAUUACUGGGCGUAAAGCGUGCGCAGGCGGCUUUGCAAGUCAGAUGUGAAAUCCCCGGGCUUAACCUGGGAACUGCAUUUGUGACUGGAUGGCUGGAGUGCGGCAGAGGGGGAUGGAAUUCCGCGUGUAGCAGUGAAAUGCGUAGAUAUGCGGAGGAACACCGAUGGCGAAGGCAAUCCCCUGGGCCUGCACUGACGCUCAUGCACGAAAGCGUGGGGAGCAAACAGG